rnacentral:rRNA from 1 species
UACGAAGGGGGCUAGCGUUGCUCGGAAUCACUGGGCGUAAAGGGUGCGUAGGCGGGUCUUUAAGUCAGGGGUGAAAUCCUGGAGCUCAACUCCAGAACUGCCUUUGAUACUGAGGAUCUUGAGUACGGGAGAGGUGAGUGGAACUGCGAGUGUAGAGGUGAAAUGCGCAGAUAUCAGGAAGAACACCAAUGGCGAAGGCAGCUCUCUGGGACGGUACUGACGCUGAGACGCGAAAGCGUGGGGAGCGAACAGG